rnacentral:rRNA from 1 species
GACGAACGCUGGCGGCGUGCCUAAUACAUGCAAGUAGAACGCUGAAGGAGGAGCUUGCUUCUCCGGAUGAGUUGCGCACGGGUGAGUAACGCGUAGGUAACCUUCCUGGUAGCGGGGGAUAACUAUUGGAAACGAUAGCUAAUACCGCAUAACAGUAGAUGUUGCAUGACAUUUGCCUAAAAGGUGCAAUUGCAUCACUACCAGAUGGACCUGCGUUGUAUUAGCUAAGUGGUGCGGUAACGGCUCACCAAGGCGACGAUACAUAGCCGACCUGAGAGGGGGAUCGGCCACACUGGGAAUGAAACACGGCCCAGACUCCUACGGGAGGCAGCAGGAGGGGAUCUUCGGCAAUGGACGGAAGUCUGACCGAGCAAAGCCGGGGGAGUGAAGAAGGGUCUCGGAUCGGAAAGCUCUGUUGUAAGAGAAGAACGGGUGUGAGAGUGGAAAGUUCACACUGUGACGUUAGCUUAACAGAAAGGGACGGCUAACUACGUG